rnacentral:rRNA from 1 species
GUGACUGCGUACCUUUUGUAUAAUGGGUCAGCGACUUAUAUUCUGUAGCAAGGUUAACCGAAUAGGGGAGCCGAAGGGAAACCGAGUCUUAACUGGGCGUUAAGUUGCAGGGUAUAGACCCGAAACCCGGUGAUCUAGCCAUGGGCAGGUUGAAGGUUGGGUAACACUAACUGGAGGACCGAACCGACUAAUGUUGAAAAAUUAGCGGAUGACCUGUGGCUGGGGGUGAAAGGCCAAUCAAACCGGGAGAUAGCUGGUUCUCCCCGAAAGCUAUUUAGGUAGCGCCUCGUGAACUCAUCUUCGGGGGUAGAGCACUGUUUCGGCUAGGGGGUCAUCCCGACUUACCAACCCGAUGCAAACUGCGAAUACCGAAGAAUGUUAUCACGGGAGACACACGGCGGGUGCUAACGUCCGUCGUGAAGAGGGAAACAACCCAGACCGCCAGCUAAGGUCCCAAAGUCAUGGUUAAGUGGGAAACGAUGUGGGAAGGCCCAGACAGCCAGGAUGUUGGCUUAGAAGCAGCCAUCAUUUAAAGAAAGCGUAAUAGCUCACUGGUCGAGUCGGCCUGCGCGGAAGAUGUAACGGGGCUAAACCAUGCACCGAAGCUGCGGCAGCGACGCUUAUGCGUUGUUGGGUAGGGGAGCGUUCUGUAAGCCGUUGAAGGUGUGCUGUGAGGCAUGCUGGAGGUAUCAGAAGUGCGAAUGCUGACAUAAGUAACGAUAAAGCGGGUGAAAAGCCCGCUCGCCGGAAGACCAAGGGUUCCUGUCCAACGUUAAUCGGGGCAGGGUGAGUCGACCCCUAAGGCGAGGCCGAAAGGCGUAGUCGAUGGGAAACAGGUUAAUAUUCCUGUACUUGGUGUUACUGCGAAGGGGGGACGGAGAAGGCUAUGUUAGCCGGGCGACGGUUGUCCCGGUUUAAGCAUGUAGGCGGAGGUUCCAGGUAAAUCCGGUACCUUUUAACGCUGAGGUGUGAUGACGAGGCACUACGGUGCUGAAGUAACAAAUGCCCUGCUUCCAGGAAAAGCCUCUAAGCAUCAGGUAACACGAAAUCGUACCCCAAACCGACACAGGUGGUCAGGUAGAGAAUACCAAGGCGCUUGAGAGAACUCGGGUGAAGGAACUAGGCAAAAUGGUGCCGUAACUUCGGGAGAAGGCACGCUGACAUGUAGGUGAAGCCCCUGCGGGUGGAGCUGAAGUCAGUCGAAGAUACCAGCUGGCUGCAACUGUUUAUUAAAAACACAGCACUGUGCAAACACGAAAGUGGACGUAUACGGUGUGACGCCUGCCCGGUGCCGGAAGGUUAAUUGAUGGGGUUAUCCUCAGGGAGAAGCUCUUGAUCGAAGCCCCGGUAAACGGCGGCCGUAACUAUAACGGUCCUAAGGUAGCGAAAUUCCUUGUCGGGUAAGUUCCGACCUGCACGAAUGGCGUAAUGAUGGCCAGGCUGUCUCCACCCGAGACUCAGUGAAAUUGAACUCGCUGUGAAGAUGCAGUGUACCCGCGGCAAGACGGAAAGACCCCGUGAACCUUUACUAUAGCUUGACACUGAACAUUGAGCCUUGAUGUGUAGGAUAGGUGGGAGGCUUUGAAGCGUGGACGCCAGUCUGCGUGGAGCCAACCUUGAAAUACCACCCUUUAAUGUUUGAUGUUCUAACCUGG